rnacentral:ribozyme from 1 species
AAGAAGUUUGCUAGAUAGAUUUCAAGCAAAAGCCGGAGCUCCAGCUGACAAAGCUACAGCAACAA